UAACGGCCGCGGUACCCUAACCGUGCGAAGGUAGCAUAAUCACUUGUUCUUUAAAUAGGGACUAGUAUCAACGGCAUCACGAGGGUUACACUGUCUCCUUUCUCCAAUCAGUGAAACUGAUCUCUUCGUGAAGAAGCGAAGAUAUAACUAUUAGACGAGAAGACCCCAUGGAGCUUUAAGCUCAACAACAACUUUUAUGAAAAUAAUUCCUUAUAGUACACAAACCCUGUUUGUUAGCUUUAGGUUGGGGUGACCGCGGAGUAUAACUUAACCUCCACAACGAAAAGGCAUAAAACCCUUAUCUAAGAGCCACUGCUCUAAGAAUCACCAAAUUGACGUAUAAUGAUCCGAUUUUCGAUCAACGGACCAAGUUACCCUGGGGAUAACAGCGCAAUCCAUUUUUAGAGCCCCUAUCGACAAA
rnacentral:rRNA from 1 species